AGCGAACGCUGGCGGCAGGCCUAACACAUGCAAGUCGAACGAACUCUUCGGAGUUAGUGGCGGACGGGUGAGUAACACGUGGGAACGUGCCUUUUGGUUCGGAAUAACUCAGGGAAACUUGUGCUAAUACCGAAUGUGCCCUUCGGGGGAAAGAUUUAUCGCCAUUAGGGCGGCCCGCGUCUGAUUAGCUAGUUGGUGAGGUAACGGCUCACCAAGGCGACGAUCAGUAGCUGGUCUGAGAGGAUGACCAGCCACACUGGGACUGAGACACGGCCCAGACUCCUACGGGAGGCAGCAGUGGGGAAUCUUGCGCAAUGGGCGAAAGCCUGACGCAGCCAUGCCGCGUGAAUGAUGAAGGUCCUAGGAUUGUAAAAUUCUUUCACCGGGGACGAUAAUGACGGUACCCGGAGAAGAAGCCCCGGCUAACUUCGUG
rnacentral:rRNA from 1 species